GAGCGGCAGACGGGUGAGUAAUACGUUGGAACCUGCCCCAAAGUCAGGGAUAACCAGUAGAAAUAUUGGCUAAUACCGGAUAGUCACGAAAGUGUAAAGCUUUUGCGCUUUGGGAGGGGCCUGCGGUCUAUCAGCUUGUUGGUAAGGUAAUGGCUUACCAAGGCUAUGACGGAUAGCUGGUUUGAGAGAAUGAUCAGCCACAAUGGAACUGAGACACGGUCCAUACUCCUACGGGAGGCAGCAGUGAGGAAUCUUCCGCAAUGGGGCGAAAAAGCCCUGGACGGAAGCAAACACCGGCGUGAAGGAUUGAAGGUCGUAAGAUUGUAAACUUCUUUUCUGAGGGAAGAAUUCUGACGGUACCUCAGGAAUAAGCAUCGGCUAACUACGUGCCAGCAGCCGCGGUAAGACGGUAGGAUGCAAGCGUUAUCCGGAAUUAUUGGGCAUAAAGAGUUCGUAGGCGGUUUGUUAAGUUGGAUGUUAAAUUUUUGAGCUCAACUUAAAAAAAGUAUCCAAAACUGGCAAACUGGAGACUGGUAGAGGUAAGUGGAAUUCUGCAUGUAGGGGGUAAUAUCCGUAGAUAUGCAGAGGAACACCAAAAGCGAAGGCAGCUUACUGGACCAGUUCUGACGCUCAAGAACGAAAGCGUGGGUAGCGAACGGGAUUAGAUACCCCGGUAGUCCACGCCCUAAACGAUGAACACUAGGUAUUGGAGGUCUCGACCCCUUCAGUGCCGACGCAAAUGCAAUAAGUGUUCCGCCUGGGUAGUACGAGCGCAAGCUUAAAACUCAAAGGAAUAGACGGGGACCCACACAAGCGGUGGAGCAUCUGGUUUAAUUCGACAAUAAGCGAGGAACCUUACCAAGGCUUGACAUCCCGAGAAGAUCGCCGAAAGGUGAUUGUGCCGUUAGGAACUCGGUGACAGGUGCUGCAUGGUUGUCGUCAGCUCGUGCCUUGAGGUGUUCGGUUAAGUCCGUGAACGAGCGCAACCCUUGUCUCAAGUUGCAUAUUUCUUGAGAGACUGCCGGUUUCAAAUCGGAGGAAGGUAAGGAUGACGUCAAAUCAGCAUGGCCCUUAUGUCUUGGGCGACACAGAUGCUACAAUGGCCGGUACAAUGGGCAGCGAAGGUGCAAUCUGGAGCAAAUCCUCAUAACCGGUCCAAGUUCGUAUUGUAGGCUGCAACUCGCCUUCAUGAAGUUGGAAUCGCUAGU
rnacentral:rRNA from 1 species